UACAGAGGUCCCAAGCGUUGUUCGGAUUCACUGGGCGUAAAGGGUGCGUAGGCGGCGCGGUAAGUCGGGUGUGAAAUCUCGGGGCUUAACUCCGAAACUGCAUUCGAUACUGCCGUGCUUGAGGACUGGAGAGGAGACUGGAAUUCAUGGUGUAGCAGUGAAAUGCGUAGAGAUCAUGAGGAAGACCAGUGGCGAAGGCGAGUCUCUGGGCCGGUACUGACGCUGAGGUGCGAAAGCGUGGGGAGCAAACAGG
rnacentral:rRNA from 1 species